rnacentral:lncRNA from 1 species
UAACUUUGGUAUAUAUAAUAUAUAUUGUUUUGCCGACCAAAAAAACUUCCUUCCCGACACACUAUCUUAUAGCAUCAUUUAUAAUAAUUAAAUAAUGAGAAUAAAAAAUCAAGAAAAAAUAAAAAGGCAAACAACUUUGGUGACCCAAGUUAGACAUGAUUUUCAAAUCGUGAUAAACUUGGCCCAAGUAUUAGAAUAUGAUCUCCAACAUUUUGAGCAUUGCCAAGUUUGUGCUAUCAUGAUCCAUAUGUUUAGAACAGGAAAUGCUAAUAUUGUAGUUUAAAAAUUCAAAGUAUGGAAUUGCUAAUGAAUUCCGUUGGAUACAUUAUUGUGUUGGUCAGGAUUAUGAUUUAGAUCAAACGUUGCAACAUGAGGUCACAUCUCUAUUACGGGUAUUCCAGAAAUGGAAAUUGCUACAAAUUGGUGAAGAAUUAUAUGUCUAAAAGGUAGACGUAAAUUACGAAACCUCUUGAAGAAGAAAAAUGCACUUUAUCAUUUGAUAAGUGCAAGACCUGUUCAAAAUAUGCAGUAACUUGAGUCUUGUAACAUGUCCGAAGGUAUGUUAAAGGCAAAUAUGAUGAUAACUUCAAUUACCAGCUGUACAAGGUAAUUCCAAUUGUGCACCAUUUUAGCAGCAGCAGGUGUUCAUCGUAGACAUCACCUAAAUUAAUAUAUUAGAAAAAACUUUAUUCCUACUCAUGGUUUGUACAACUUCUACAAUUAGAAGGCCAGAAACAAACGAGAUGAGAUAAUAAAUGUG